rnacentral:rRNA from 1 species
GGCUUAGAGUUUGAUCAUGGCUCAGGAUGAACGCUGGCGGCGUGCCUAACACAUGCAAGUCGAGCGAAGCACUUUACUUUGAGAUCUUCGGAAGGAUAAGUUUUGUGACUGAGCGGCGGACGGGUGAGUAACGCGUGGGUAACCUGCCUCAUACAGGGGGAUAACAGUUAGAAAUGACUGCUAAUACCGCAUAAGACCACAGCACCGCAUGGUGCAGGGGUAAAAACUCCGGUGGUAUGAGAUGGACCCGCGUCUGAUUAGCUAGUUGGUAAGGUAACGGCUUACCAAGGCAACGAUCAGUAGCCGACCUGAGAGGGUGACCGGCCACAUUGGGACUGAGACACGGCCCAAACUCCUACGGGAGGCAGCAGUGGGGAAUAUUGCACAAUGGGGGAAACCCUGAUGCAGCGACGCCGCGUGAGCGAAGAAGUAUUUCGGGAUGUAAAGCUCUAUCAGCAGGGAAGAAACUGACGGUACCUGACUAAGAAGCACCGGCUAAAUACGUGCCAGCAGCCGCGGUAAUACGUAUGGUGCAAGCGUUAUCCGGAUUUACUGGGUGUAAAGGGAGCGUAGACGGAUAGGCAAGUCUGGAGUGAAAGCCCGGGGCUCAACCCCGGGACUGCUUUGGAAACUGUUUAUCUAGAGUGCUGGAGAGGUAAGUG